ACGAUGAAGGGGAGCUUGCUCCCUGGAUUAGUGGCGAACGGGCUGAGUAACACGUGAGCAACCUGCCCCUAACUCUGGGAUAACGCUUCGUAAAGGAGUGCUAAUACCGGAUAUGAGCCUGAGCGACAUCUCUCGGGUUGGAAAGUUUUUCGGUUAAGGAUGGGCUCGCGGCCUAUCAGCUAGUUGGUGAGGUAAAGGCUCACCAAGGCGACGACGGGUAUCCGGCCUGAGAGGGUGACCGGACACACUGGGACUGAGACACGGUCCAGACUCCUACGGGAGGCAGCAGUGGGGAAUAUUGUGCAAUGGGCGA
rnacentral:rRNA from 1 species